UGAUUCCAUGCCGAACUCAGAAGUGAAACACAAUAGCGCCGAUGGUAGUGUGGGGCUUCCCCAUGUGAGAGUAGGACAUCGCCAGGC
rnacentral:rRNA from 1 species